rnacentral:rRNA from 1 species
UCGGGAAUUUUGGGCAAUGGGCGAAAGCCUGACCCAGCAACGCCGCGUGAAGGAUGAAGUAUUUCGGUAUGUAAACUUCGAAAGAAUAGGAAGAAUAAAUGACGGUACUAUUUAUAAGGUCCGGCUAACUACGUGCCAGCAGCCGCGGUAAUACGUAGGGACCAAGCGUUGUUCGGAUUUACUGGGCGUAAAGGGCGCGUAGGCGGCAUGACAAGUCACUUGUGAAAUCUCUGGGCUUAACCCAGAACGGCCAAGUGAUACUGUCGCGCUAGAGUGCAGAAGGGGCAAUCGGAAUUCUUGGUGUAGCGGUGAAAUGCGUAGAUAUCAAGAGGAACACCUGAGGUGAAGACGGGUUGCUGGGCUGACACUGACGCUGAGGCGCGAAAGCCAGGGGAGCAAACGGGAUUAGAUACCCGCGUAGUCCCUGAGCGGGCUGGCAAGGCGCAU